rfam:Daucus carota subsp. sativus cultivar DH1 chromosome 6, whole genome shotgun sequence.
AUACUUACCUGGAUGGGGUCAAUGGGUGAUCAUGAAGGCCCAUGGCCUGGGUUAGUGGCCUCCAUUGCACAUCGGAGGGGUGCUUGCCUAAGGUCUACCCAAGUGGUGGAGCCUACAUCAUAAUUUGUGACAGGGGGCCUGCGUUCGCGCAGCCCCUGC